GAAAUUCGGAUUAAUACUCCAUAACACUAUGAACUGGCAUCUUUUUAUAGUUAAAGCUCCGGCGGUUAAAGAUGGGCAUGCGUGACAUUAGAUAGUUGGUGAGGUAACGGCUCACCAAGUCUACGAUGUCUAGGGGGUCUGAGAGGAUGGUCCCCCACACUGGUACUGAGACACGGACCAGACUCCUACGGGAGGCAGCAGCGAGGAAUAUUGGUCAAUGGGCGCAAGCCUGAACCAGCCAUGCCGCGUGAAGGAUGACAGCGCUACGCGUUGUAAACUUCUUUUGUACAGGAAGAAACACUUCUACGUGUAGAAGCUUGACGGUACUGUACGAAUAAGCAUCGGCUAACUCCGUGCCAGCAGCCGCGGUAAUACGGAGGAUGCAAGCGUUAUCCGGAUUUAUUGGGUUUAAAGGGUACGUAGGCGGAAACUUAAGUCAGUAGUGAAAUCCUGCAGCUUAACUGUAGAACUAUUAUUGAUACUGGGUUUCUUGAAUAUAGUUGAGGUAGGCGGAAUGUGUAAUGUAGCGGUGAAAUGCUUA
rnacentral:rRNA from 1 species